GACGAACGCUGGCGGCGUGCCUAACACAUGCAAGUGGAGCGACGAACCGGGCUUCGGCCCGGGGCAAAGCCGCGAACGGGUGAGUAACACGUGGGUAACCUGCCCCGAUGAUUGGGACAACCCGAGGAAACUCGGGCUAAUACCGAAUGUGCCCUCCGGCCACAAGGCCGCUGGGGAAAGGAAGCUUCGGCCUCCGCAUCGGGAUGGGCCCGCGGCCCAUUAGCUUGUUGGUGAGGUAACGGCUCACCAAGGCGAUGAUCUGUAUCCGGCCUGAGAG
rnacentral:rRNA from 1 species